rnacentral:rRNA from 1 species
UACGGGGGGGGCAAGCGUUGUUCGGAAUUACUGGGCGUAAAGGGCUCGUAGGUGGCCAACUAAGUCAUACGUGAAAUCCCUCGGCUUAACCGGGGAACUGCGUCUGAUACUGGAUGGCUUGAGUUUGGGAGAGGGACGCGGAAUUCCAGGUGUAGCGGUGAAAUGCGUAGAUAUCUGGAGGAACACCGGUGGCGAAGGCGGCAUCCUGGACCAACACUGACGCUGAGUGAGCGAAAGCCAGGGGAGCAAACGGG